GAGUGUAUAGCUCAGUGGUAGAGCACAUGCUUAGCAUGCACGAGGUCCUGGGUUCAAUCCCCAGUACCCUUG
rnacentral:tRNA from 1 species